GGAGACACCACACUUUCUGAAGUGCUUAUGAGACUUGCAGGAGGUAUCCUGUAAGAAGAGAAAAGGAGACAUGGACACACAUACAGAGGAGAAUGCCGCAUAGCAGAGAUGGGAGCGGUGUGGCUCCAAGUCAUGUCAAGCAUUGCCAGCCACUACCAGAGGCCAGAACGGCCAAGAAGGCGCCUCCCCUGGAACCUGCAGAGAGACCGUGACCCUCUCGGCACCUUGAUUGAGGAUUUCUAGCCUCCAUAACUGCGAGAUAAUACAUCUCUGUUGUUUUAAGCUUCCAAGUUUGACGUGAUUUGUGAUAGCAGCCCUAGGAAAUGGAUAAAAAUACUGAGUAUACUGCCUUGGUUUUCCGUGUUGCUGACUGUGUCUGUCUGCCCUCUAGACUGUCAUCAGGCAAACUCAGUGACUGCUAAAAGCGCAUCUGACCCACACAAGCCCUCAGCCCACCUUGCUGUUUACUUGGCUUUCAGCAGUAGGAGAAAAAAUGAUGUUUAUAUUAUAAAAGUAAAUCAGCUGUAUUGUACUUUACAGCAGAGAAACCCUUUGUUACUCAUAUUUUCAAAUACUUUUUAAGAGAUGUUUAAAGCAUGGAAAGUAUUUUUAGCAUUUAAAGUAUUUGCAUUUUUAAUAAAAAAAUUUCUCCACAGAAAAA
rnacentral:lncRNA from 1 species